CUUUUGUUUUGGUUUGUCUGCAUCUUUCUUUUUCCUUUCUUUUCGAAAACUCCUCCCUUUCUCUCUUCUUCUUCCCCGUGACAACACACACACACACACACAAAUACCCACAGUCGCACAACUCAGGGAGAGUCACCAUCAUCGCCGUUGAACUGCUUCUCUCUCUCUCUUUCUCUCUCCCCUGCUCGCGGUGCCGGAGUACGCCGAGCAUCUCCGGCGAAUUUUAGCUUGUUUUCCGGUUGGGUUUUGGAGUGUUUUUGGCAAGGGUGGAGGUACACCCAAUUUUCCGGCGAGUGCGUGUUUUCCGAGGGAUUUUCCGGCCACCACAAGCCGUUUCACGGCGAACCCAAGAUUUCCUUUUUUUGGGAAAUUGACGUGCUUUUCCCAUUCAUCGCCUAAACAAACCCAUGCUUCCUCCAUCUUCGUCUUCUCCUCUCGCAGUUUGCGCUCUUAGUUCUCAAUUGAAUUCACAGUAAACACCCAGAAACAUAAAGGUACGAAAAAUUCCUUUUUUUUUAUUUUUUAUUUUUAAAUUUUAGUUUUUAUUAAUUUAUUCGCAAAGGAAAUCAGCUGAUAGCAAUAUUGCCAAUUAGUUAUAGAAGUUGUAUAUUUUGUAUGCAGAAAUUCAAAGCACGCAGAGAUCUCGAGUCAAAAACAGAGGUACCCAUCCCUUUUUGUUCGAUUUUUGCUUCGUUUUUAUCUCUGUUUUCGUUUUUGGGUAGGAUUUUGUGCUUUAUAAUUGGGUAUAAUGUGAAAAUUUUGAAGCAGCUAAAUCUUAUUCAAUCAUGUUUGAUUGAUUGUUUAUCUAGGGUUUCUUCUAUUUUGCUUGGUAGGUUUAAAUUGAUUUGGGUUUAUAUUUGAUUGCGAGUUAACUAAUUUUUUAUUAGUUGUAAAUCAUAUUGGUUGCAUAUCAUGAAACAAUUUCAUGUUUGGUUUAAGAGAAUAGACUUGAUUCAAUGAGAUUUGGACUCAUCAGUUACAACCAUCUGAGAUAGGCAAGAGUGUUGGCAUUCUUUAGAAAAAAUUUAGGAGCUACAAAACUAUGCUUUAAAUUUGAGUUAUGUGAUUACUAUUUUAUCUAUUCAUCUUACUAAGAUUUUGGUAAAAUUUCAGGGAACUCUUGCACAGUGAAAUGACUCCCACCACCAAAAAACGCAACUGCUGCAAUUUCGAUUGCAGUUCUUGAAGAAAGGUAAAGCUGCUAUGUUUCUGUACAAAGUCUUCAAUUUUUUAUAUGGGGUUUCAUUUUUUGUGCUUUUUUUUUCUCUCUUGAGAAUAUUAAUAUUGUUGUUAGUUAUUAAAUUCGACUAUUGCAUAGGUUAAAUUUUACUUCAAAUUGUAGUAGUUGUCAUACAAGUUUAUAUUUUUGUAUAGAAUUGCAGACAGUUUGAAUUUUGGAUGAGAGUUUAGAAUAUUUAUAAGUUGGUUCUGUUGUCGGAUCUCCAUAUAGCAAAUUAUCCUACUCUGUAUUUCAAAAAUCGUAGGUUGUCCACUCUAGCUAUACAAUUCUUCCAUGUAUGCUUUCACUGAUUGAUAUAAAAUCAUACAUGAAUUUUCUCAUUCAAA